rnacentral:rRNA from 1 species
GACCGAUAGUGAACCAGUACCGUGAGGGAAAGGCGAAAAGAACCCCGGCGAGGGGAGUGAAAAAGAACCUGAAACCGUGUACGUACAAGCAGUGGGAGCACGCUUAGGCGUGUGACUGCGUACCUUUUGUAUAAUGGGUCAGCGACUUAUAUUCUGUAGCAAGGUUAACCGAAUAGGGGAGCCGAAGGGAAACCGAGUCUUAACUGGGCGUUAAGUUGCAGGGUAUAGACCCGAAACCCGGUGAUCUAGCCAUGGGCAGGUUGAAGGUUGGGUAACACUAACUGGAGGACCGAACCGACUAAUGUUGAAAAAUUAGCGGAUGACUUGUGGCUGGGGGUGAAAGGCCAAUCAAACCGGGAGAUAGCUGGUUCUCCCCGAAAGCUAUUUAGGUAGCGCCUCGUGAAUUCAUCUCCGGGGGUAGAGCACUGUUUCGGCAAGGGGGUCAUCCCGACUUACCAACCCGAUGCAAACUGCGAAUACCGGAGAAUGUUAUCACGGGAGACACACGGCGGGUGCUAACGUCCGUCGUGAAGAGGGAAACAACCCAGACCGCCAGCUAAGGUCCCAAAGUCAUGGUUAAGUGGGAAACGAUGUGGGAAGGCCCAGACAGCCAGGAUGUUGGCUUAGAAGCAGCCAUCAUUUAAAGAAAGCGUAAUAGCUCACUGGUCGAGUCGGCCUGCGCGGAAGAUGUAACGGGGCUAAACCAUGCACCGAAGCUGCGGCAGCGACGCUGAUGCGUUGUUGGGUAGGGGAGCGUUCUGUAAGCCUGCGAAGGUGUGCUGUGAGGCAUGCUGGAGGUAUCAGAAGUGCGAAUGCUGACAUAAGUAACGAUAAAGCGGGUGAAAAGCCCGCUCGCCGGAAGACCAAGGGUUCCUGUCCAACGUUAAUCGGGGCAGGGUGAGUCGACCCCUAAGGCGAGGCCGAAAGGCGUAGUCGAUGGGAAACAGGUUAAUAUUCCUGUACUUGGUGUUACUGCGAAGGGGGGACGGAGAAGGCUAUGUUGGCCGGGCGACGGUUGUCCCGGUUUAAGCGUGUAGGCUGGUUUUCCAGGCAAAUCCGGAAAAUC